AUGCAGAGAUGGAGAAUUCCCUCUGUAACCCAAAUGGAUGAGUUCAUAGAAGACAACACUCGCCUACCUGCCGCAUCUGAUUCAAAUGUAUGUCUUCUGGGAAAGUCCAGCAUCUAUCUGCACACACAGACAACUGCUCUUCUUUCCAGCUCAUCCUUUUCUCUGGGUAUUUUCCGCUUCUUGUAUUGUGGUUGCCAGGAGAGCAGCUUGCAUGGAUCGUGUCAUCUUCAGGGAGUCCUAUCUCAUCAUUAUUCAGUUACCUGCAAUCCUCUGACUGAAGAUGCUAAAUCCCUAGCUCACAGCCAGAUUAGAAAAGUGAUUAGUUACCUGUGUAUCCCACGUUAGAAGUAUAGGAUUAUAUGGCAAUUAUAAGGGAUCAGACUCAGCCUAUUUAAAAGGAUGCUGACAUCUCAGAAAUAUCCUUUACAAGCAUUUUACACUGAGCCUCCUUACCUCAAAUCUUUUCAGGCGUGUUAAGUGAAAUUUUGAAGUUGGUUUCUUAAAACCAUUAUGUUUUGUAUUUCGUGCUCAAGUGAUUGGGGACAAGGAAGGCAAACUGCUGGCAAUUACACUUGUCAGUGAGGUCUCAAGUCCCAGGCAGCACCAUGGUGAUGACACUGCUUAGGCCCAGGUACUGACCAGGAAACACAAUAGGGCUGUGUGUUUUUUUUCCCUGUAAAAGAAAAAUUAACUGAUGUGUUGGAGCUGCUUCAGAGUUUUAAAGAUCUACUGAGUAUAGAAUAUUUUUUAAAUAGCUACUAAUAUAUCUUGAGGGUUACAGUCAUGUAUUCAUGCAUUCUUACUAUAUGUAAAUGUUAUUGUAUGUGAAUAUAUAACUCACAGGUGAGGGUGUGUUUUCACCCAGGCUUGCACCAUUAUUAGCUUUUUUUCUGUCCCUCAGUGUGUCUGUCUGUCUUCUCCAGUCAUUUCUGCAUUGUUGGCCAAGCUGAGCCGCAGAAGACAGGGAUGCAAGCAGUCAGAGAAAUCACGUAGUUCUUUGAAGUUUCAUGAAAAUACACAGGGAGGUAGAGGAGAGAGCCACUGCUUGUCCCCCAGAGAAGGGCUGCAGGUUGCACUCAGCUUGUAACACCAGCUGGGUGCCUGCCAUGAGCACCGCAGCCAUGGGCAAGCUUCAGUCAAAGCCCACGUCCCAUCAGGCUCCACAGACCCUGGCCAUGGGACUGUGGGUCCUUAAGGGUCCCUUCCAACUUGGGAUAUUCUAUGACUGGUCUGUGGGAGGCCUGCCUUUGUUACUCCCACUGCUCAUGCAAAUACUCUACCACANNNNNNNNNNNNNNNNNNNNCCUCCUUACCUCAAAUCUUUUCAGGUGUGUUAAGUGAAAUU
rnacentral:lncRNA from 1 species